GUGAUUGACAGAUCGGAAAGGUCCAUUUGUGCUCCACUACAGAUAUUUUUUCCCACGUGGCACAUCAUACAAUCUCCGAUCAGCAAGCCUGCAUAUGAACCUGCAAGUCCAAUCCCAGAAGGAGCAGAUCCUCAUCCACACCAGAACUUCUCGACGCUGUCCAGAGAGAUGAGGCAGAAGAUGAAAAAGAAGAAGAGGAGGAUUGAGAGAGUGGGUGUGAGGAUGAAGAUGGAUGGAUUUGCAGAAAGCGGCUGAACCCGGAGCAGGUGAACGCAGCUGUGGAUCUCUCCAACGACGGGCCUCGCUGGCUGCCUUCCUCGCGCGAGCCCCACGGCGGUUGCGUUCAGGGGUCCCGGCGAGCCGACAGGGGCCAGGCAGAGUGGGCAGGCGAGGGCCGGCCCAAGCCAGGAGAGAUACAGCUUCCGCCAACGGUCCUGGUCCAGAGCCCUCACCCUUUGCACCGGCCCCGCACAAAGAUGUUUGGGUGUGAGCUCGGCCCGCGGGGAGUUUCUGCGCCUCGAUAAACAUCUCGCCACUGAGAGGCCGGGACACGAGCGCGGAAAAAAAAAAAGUCGACGAAGAUGUGGGAAAAAGGAAGA